rnacentral:rRNA from 1 species
CGUAACAAGGUUUCCGUAGGUGAACCUGCGGAAGGAUCAUUGUUGACCCGCGAACGUCUCAACAACCAACCCCGGCGCAGUACGCGCCAAGGAAUAGAAAAUGAAAAGGGGGGUGCUUUUCUUUCGGGAAUGCAUUGCCUUCUUUCAAGAAUCAAAAUGACUCUCGGCAACGGAUAUCUCGGCUCUCGCAUCGAUGAAGAACGCAGCAAAAUGCGAUACUUGGUGUGAAUUGCAGAAUCCCGUGAAUCAUUGAGUUUUAGAACGCAAGUUGCGCCCGAAGCCUUUCGGCCAAGGGCACGCCUGCCUGGGUGUCACGCAUACGUCGCCCCAUCCUCUCGACACCUCGGGAGUCAUGGGAGCAGAAGUUGGCCUCCUGUGUGCCUUGCGCAUGUGGUUGGCCCAAAAUGCAUGUUCGCGGCAAAUGAUAGCCAUGACGAUCGGUGGUUGUAAAGACCCUCUGAAAAAGUCGUGCGCUGUUCUUAGACGUCGGGACAUUCCUUGACCCUAGGGCGUCCUCAGGGCGCGCUCCGACCGCGACCCCAGGUCAGGGGGGGCUACCCCCUGAG